GGGGAAUAUUGGACAAUGGGGGCAACCCUGAUCCAGCAAUGCCGCGUGUGUGAAGAAGGUCUUCGGAUUGUAAAGCACUUUCGACGGGGACGAUGAUGACGGUACCCGUAGAAGAAGCCCCGGCUAACUUCGUGCCAGCAGCCGCGGUAAUACGAAGGGGGCUAGCGUUGCUCGGAAUGACUGGGCGUAAAGGGCGUGUAGGCGGUUUACACAGUCAGAUGUGAAAUCCCCGGGCUUAACCUGGGAGCUGCAUUUGAUACGUGUAGACUAGAGUGUGAGAGAGGGUUGUGGAAUUCCCAGUGUAGAGGUGAAAUUCGUAGAUAUUGGGAAGAACACCGGUGGCGAAGGCGGCAACCUGGCUCAUUACUGACGCUGAGGCGCGAAAGCGUGGGGAGCAAACAGGAUUAGAUACCCUGGUAGUCCACGCUGUAAACGAUGUGUGCUAGAUGUUGGGUAACUUUGUUAUUCAGUGUCGCAGUUAACGCGUUAAGCACACCGCCUGGGGAGUACGGCCGCAAGGUUGAAAC
rnacentral:rRNA from 1 species